rnacentral:rRNA from 1 species
CGCGGCCUAUCAGCUUGUUGGUGAGGUAAUGGCUCACCAAGGCGACGACGGGUAGCCGGCCUGAGAGGGCGACCGGCCACACUGGGACUGAGACACGGCCCAGACUCCUACGGGAGGCAGCAGUGGGGAAUAUUGCACAAUGGGCGAAAGCCUGAUGCAGCGACGCCGCGUGAGGGAUGACGGCCUUCGGGUUGUAAACCUCUUUCAGUAGGGAAGAAGCGAAAGUGACGGUACCUGCAGAAGAAGCACCGGCUAACUACGUGCCAGCAGCCGCGGUAAUACGUAGGGUGCGAGCGUUAUCCGGAAUUAUUGGGCGUAAAGAGCUCGUAGGCGGUUUGUCGCGUCUGUCGUGAAAGUCCGGGGCUUAACCCCGGAUCUGCGGUGGGUACGGGCAGACUAGAGUGCAGUAGGGGAGACUGGAAUUCCUGGUGUAGCGGUGGAAUGCGCAGAUAUCAGGAGGAACACCGAUGGCGAAGGCAGGUCUCUGGGCUGUAACUGACGCUGAGGAGCGAAAGCAUGGGGAGCGAACAGGAUUAGAUACCCUGGUAGUCCACGCCGUAAACGUUGGGCACUAGGUGUGGGGACCAUUCCACGGUUUCCGCGCCGCAGCUAACGCAUUAAGUGCCCCGCCUGGGGAGUACGG